AUCCGUAGCGAGUCAAAUCUCUUCCAAAUCUGCAGUGAAAGAUACCUCAAAAGAUCUCUCCGCUUGGUUCAAUCUGUUUGCCGAUUUGGAUCCACUGUCAAACCCGGAUGCAAUUGGCCGAACCAAUGAGGAAGACGAGCUACUGAAUGCUUAGUCCGCCCUGGUACAGAUGCACUUUAUCGCUCUUUUCAUACAAACGGCAGUUUAUGCAAGAGGCCGACAGAUCUGGACAGAUGUCAAGUGAUUGCUUUAUGCCAUUGCAGUAAACCUUAAUUAUUUAAUGAAGAAUUAUUUGCUGCCAAAGGAAAUGAAUAAUAAUCACUCUGGCCUUGAUUCCUUUUCUAUUGCUAGUAUUGUCAAGGCAGUUUGAUUUGCCAUAACAUUGUGGAUUUACUUGUUUUACAUAAAUGCAUAUAAUAACAUUUCUCAACAUUAUCAGCAACAGUAAGUAGUUUUUGGUUUGUAUAUUAUGAUAUUGCAUGUUUUUUUGUAAAUCUUUAUUUAUUGUAAAUGUUAGUGCUGACUACUAAAACUAAUGCUGCA